rnacentral:rRNA from 1 species
AUACGGAGGGUGCAAGCGUUAUUCGGAAUCACUGGGCGUAAAGGACGCGUAGGCGGGUUGGCAAGUCAGAUUGGAAAUCCUACAGCUUAACAGUAGAACUGCAUUUGAAACUGCUAACCUAGAGUAUGGGAGGGGGAGAUGGAAUUAGUGGUGUAGGGGUAAAAUCCGUAGAUAUCACUAGGAAUAACGAAAGCGAAGGCGAUCUCCUGGAACAUAACUGACGCUAAGGCGUGAAAGCGUGGGGAGCAAACAGGAUUAGAAACCCUAGUAGUCC